rnacentral:rRNA from 1 species
UGACGGUAUCUAACCAGCAAGUCACGGCUAAAUACGUGCCAGCAGCCGCGGUAAUACGUAUGGUGCAAGCGUUAUCCGGAUUUACUGGGUGUAAAGGGAGCGUAGACGGCAUGGCAAGCCAGAUGUGAAAGGUGGGGGCUCAACCCCCAAACGGCAUUUGGAACUGUCAAGCUAGAGUAUCGGAGAGGUAAGUGGAAUUCCUAGUGUAGCGGUGAAAUGCGUAGAUAUUAGGAGGAACACCAGUGGCGAAGGCGACUUACUGGGCCGUAACUGACGCUGAGGCGCGAAAGCGUGGGUAGCAAACAGGAUUAGAUACCCUG